rnacentral:misc_RNA from 1 species
GAUGAAGAACGCAGCGAAAUGCGAUAACUAAUGUGAAUUGCAGAAUUCCGUGAAUCAUCGAGUCUUUGAACGCACAUUGCGCCCCCUGGCAUCCCGGGGGGCAUGCCUGUCCGAGCGUCAUUUCAACCCUCAAGCUCGGCUUGUGAGUUGGGCGACCCGUCCCCGGCAACCCCGUAAGGGGGGCAGGGGACGAGCCCGAAACGCAGCGGGGACGCCGCGACCGCAAAGCCUCAGCGAAUGGGACAUCCAGCGCUGCACGGCGGCGGGCGGACGUCGACCUCAGGGGCGACGGCGCUACAUAUCACGUGGCACCGGCCACCGUAGACCCCCAAAAGGUUGACCUCGGAUCAGGUAGGGAUACCCGCUGAACUUAAGCAUAUCAAUAAGCGGAGGA